UACGUAGGGACCAAGCGUUGUUCGGAUUUACUGGGCGUAAAGGGCGCGUAGGCGGCAAUUCAAGCCAGCUGUGAAAUCUCCGAGCUUAACUCGGAACGGUCAGCUGAUACUGUUUUGCUAGAGUGCAGAAAGGGCAACCGGAAUUCUUGGUGUAGCAGUGAAAUGCGUAGAUAUCAAGAGGAACACCUGAGGCGAAGGCGGGUUGCUAGGCUGACACUGACGCUGAGGUGCGAAAGCGUGGGGAGCAAACAGG
rnacentral:rRNA from 1 species